rnacentral:lncRNA from 1 species
UUUUUUUACAGAAAGGGUUUUGUAAUAUUUGGGGGUGCCAAAAUGAUUUUUGUAAAAUAUGUGACUGUCCACAUAAAUACAAUGCAAUGUUUGACACAGCCACAAAAAGUUUGGAAGAAGUCUGAAAUAGAUGGAAUUUGCAAAAACAUGGAAAAGCAAUUAAUUUGCUGAGUUGGCACUGUUUUAAUUUGCUAUAGUCCAUCUUAGCUUGGAGGUGAUGUUGUUUUCCUUAACAAUCAUUUGUUAUGGAAUUUUUGACAAAUGAUGAACAUUUUGCCAGCAACUUUUGAUCAACUUCAAACUUCACUUGAAUUUGAAUUGACUGGAAUUUCAAAUGGGAUAUUGAACAAAGGUGAUUAAACACUGUUUGGAAAAAUGAUUAGCUUAAUCAUAGAGGCUUACUGUAGCAUGACAAUGGCGGUGUUACAAAUCUCCUCCACUAGAAGAAAUCUCGUCCCGAGAUUUAAGAGGUGGAGUAAGGGAAAAGACUCGGGAAGGACGGAGCUCAACACAAGAAAGGUACGCGGGGACUAUCUCAGUGAACGUGGCAUAGAGGCAUCUCUCAAGUUGAAAUUCAAGAAAGUUAUAGAGAGCAAGGUGAGGUGCAAUAAGGAGCUUCAACCUAGUAGACAAUCAUUUGUUGCCUGAAACAAGGGAUGAAAGGGGUUCAGAGCAAUGGUAAUAAGUAUUGCGUCUGAUACCAGAAUAGAUCGCCUCUCGGAAGGCGGCUCGGGAUUUUCAUAUGAAGCUAAGCGUGAGAAAUAACCUUAGAAGGAAGGGUGUAUAGGAGAGCCAGGUUUCGAUCUUGUGGAACUGUGGGUUAUGGGCCCACCAUGUGGGUUAAAAGCAGGAAGGCGCUAACAUUUUGAAUGAUCAUGAUAGCAAGGCAGGUCAGAUGAUAGACUGUCAGUUAUGUCGGCAACAACGCUGGUACCAAGGGCGAGGGACGAAGAGAACCAUUUUCCUGCUCGUUGAAUGAGGCGGACCAAUCGGCAAGGUUCUCGUCCAUCGGUGGUUACUGGAAUGUCAUCAACAAUAGUAACAGGGUCUCACUGACAAGGUUGUACAUCGGGGGUAUUUUAUAAGCAGGGAAUUAUUUCUGCUUAUAUCAUAUAGAUCACAAAAAGGUUAAACAACCUAAUGGAAAGGAAAAAGAAAUUAUCAGAUUAAUCAGACCAAUGGAGAGGAAAAUGUGUUUACACACAAGAAUUGGGAGUAUAUCCUUCCCAAGGGGAAGCGGAGCAGGAUAUACAUGAUAUGACAACAAGUUCAAAAGCAUUUAGAUAAAGGGGGCGAGGGAAGAAUCAUGAUAUUACCCAUACAACGGUGUUUGGAUAAUAGAUCAAGAAACAUUCGACAAUGUCCUUCCAAUGUUCUUGUUGAUAGUCGGAAUACCUCAGGCAUGCUUCGAGGUAGCAUUAACAUGGUGUUCCAAGUAGGGGUUGGAGUAGAAGAUCACAAGAAAUACUCAAGGAACAAUUGCAGCAAUAGCAAGGAGUCCAAGGUAUAAUCCAAGACAUGAUCAAACAUGUGUUGGAAAGAAGACAAGGGGGUUGUCGAUGAUAACUCAAAUCAUCGAAGGUCAAGGAUGGUAUUUCUCACCAUGAAUUCAAUUGUCAUCUCAACAGAAGUCAAAAUGUUGAUGCUGAUCACGACACAUUUGUCGAGAGGCUCUACGAAGAUGCCAUCGAGGAGCGUGACAUCAAGCAACAGGAAGGAUGAAGCGAAAGGCUAUUGGAACCACGGAUACGACACAAACUCGAAAGCAAGCUUGCUGUUCAUGGAAAAAUGGUAUGACAAGGAAGAUCGGCAUAAGCUUAGCUCGUCGUCGAAAAUUGUGCUCCGGAAAGGACCUGGUAGCAUAGUUAAAAUUUAGCAUGAUAAUGAUAUAACCGAUCAAGCUAGGAAUGAUGUGAUGGAGUAUCAUUCCAAUGAGAAUUUACAAGAGGUAGUGCAAUGACACAGUAUCCUCGAGAUAACAAGGGGCGAUACUCGAGGUAGAUCAAAAAUAGAGGUUGGACAGAUGAAAUGAUCUGCAGAAGACAAGUAUUUUAACUUGUCCGGGAAAUGAAAUUAAGGAGAAACUAUGGUCGGAACCACGGUUAUGAAUGAUCAAACCACUGAUACAAGAUGAACUUAUAACAAGGGGGUAAUCAUUUUUACGAGCAGCUUCCACGAUAAGUUCUACAUCGGGUCCAUGGGCAUGAACACAGAGGUUCAAGGUCGACUCCCACUUAUUCAAUGCAUAACCUUUCAUUCACUCCUCGUUUUCGAAGAAAUUGUAGUGCAGAAGAUUUAUCUGGCGAAGUACCAGAAGAGUAAGACUCACAUCUCUUUUGAGUUCACGCGGAUUAGGGAAGGCAUAGGUUCAACCCGUAGGGGUAUCUUAGGAACACCUACCACUAACUUCCAGAGCAUAUAACAUCAGCUCAAUAGCAGAGCAUAUGGUUGACAAUAAGAGAGGAUACAAUUUACCGAAGGCAAUAUGUAUCAGGGGAAGAGCGCACGAGAUUUUGAAUAUGGAGGACAUUGCUGGAUAAUAAUCCAACAAAGGAUGCAGCGGUCCUCAAUGGAUCUGAUGUGAGUAUCAGUACUCAAUCAGAAGAGGGAAAGAAUGCAAAGGCAUCAGAUUAUAGAAACAGCUGAAUAAUUCGACAUUCAAGUUGAAGGGAACUAGGUGGACAAUCAUUACAACAUGAUUGGCCGAGAUCCAACUCAUGUCUAGAAUGACGUAUGAGCCGGAAGGUCAAAUUUCAGGGUUCGACUGAUUAUUGCGAGCAAUCGCAACAUAAAGAAUCAAUAGCCUCAGGAUGACAAGGACAAAGGAUGUUAAUGAAUAUUGCUAGACAUAUGGAUUUAACCAUAAUGCAUGCAGACAAGACUUUCGGGAGCACUAGGCUACAGAGGAUCUUUGGGAGAUCGGAUUGCAUUCGAAGAAUUUUGUGAGACAUAAGAUCAACUUGGGAUGAACGAAUCCACGAUAAGUUUGAGGAAUUUUUUGUAGGGUUAUUCAGGAGGAAAAGAGCUGCAAGGCAGUCGAAAAAAGGAUUCUCGAAAGUCAGAGAAUACUUUCGGGUAUCUUGUAAUAACAAGAGCAACAGGGAAUGACUGUAUGAAUGGCAAGUGUACGUAGUUAUCCAUAAGGAUAUAUCGGUGCUAGGGAAUUGCAAAAGCGACGGGCACAAAAUCUCAAGAGAACAUCAUAGAGUAACUUCGGAAUCUUCUGGUGCAGCAGGCGAUCAUCUAUAAUAAGGGGCUCUCCGGGAGGAAGUAGUUACGAGAUCCUAAUGUUAGAGUUAGCAAAAUCGCUUAACCCGAAAGGAAGACAGAUCAGAGUCCCAGAGUAUAGACGAGGAAUAAAAGAUCCUAAUACCACCCAAUUGGCGACGUGGGCCCGUAAGCCACACAGCCAAGUUAGCAAAACAGUUUUCGGUUUCUAGACUCAACUUUGGCCAAGAAGUUGGAAAGGGGGAUCCUACAGGCAGUCGGCUCUGGUACCAACUUGUGACGCCCUCAAUUCAAUCGUACACUAAUCAUACACGCAAAUGUGUACGAUCAAAAUCAAGGACUCACAGGAAGAUAUCACAACACAACUCUAGACACAAAUUAAAAUAAUACAAGCUUUAUAUUACAAGCCAGGGGCCUCGAGGGCUCGAAUACAUAAGCUUGAAUACUCAAGAGUCAGCGGAAGCAACAAUAUCUGAGUACAGACAUGAGUUAGACAAGUUUGCCUUAAGAAGGCUAGCACAAAAGCAACAUCGAUCGAAAAGGCAAGGCCUCCUGCCUGGGAGCCUCCUAACCACUCCUCGUCGUAGGCGGCCUCCACGUAGUAGUAAGCAUCGGCGGUAGCAUCUGGCUCCUGGGAUCCGACAUCUGGUUGCAUCAACCAGAAAGAAGAAGAAAGGGGGAAAAGGGGGAGCAAAGCAACUGUGAGUACUCAUCCAAAGUACUCGCAAGCAAGGAUCUACACUACAUAUGCAUCGGUAUCAAUGAAAAGGGUUGUAUCUGUGGACUGGACUGCAGAAUGCCAGAAGAGAAGGGGAAAGCCUAGCCUAUCGAAGACUAGCAUCUUCUGGAAACCACCAUCUUGCAGCAACAGGAGGGAGUAGAGUAGCAUAAAGUAAAGUAGUAGAAGUGUUAUCAACCUCGGCCAGAGAUCCUUUCUCGACUCCCUGCGAGAAAGCAAUCCUAGAGCCAUACUAUCCAUUUUUCAUAUCCAUGUCUCAUCUCAAGUAUCCAGUUCUAGUUGUAUCGAUCGGGAUACAACUCCAAGUGUCCGUUACCGUAGGACAGGCUAUCGAUAGAUGUUUUCUUCCCUGCAGGGGUGCAUCAACUUACCCACCACGCUCGAUUAACUCCGGCCGGACACACUUUCCUGGGUCAUGCCCGGCCUCGGUCAAACAAUACGCCGCAACCCGACCUAGGCUUAAUAGAGAGGUCAGCACGCCGGACUAAACCUAUGCGCCCAGGGGUCAUGGGCAUCGCCUCGGGAACUCCUGCAUGUUGCGUACGCGGCCGGUGAGCAGACCUAGCUACCUCCUUUAAAAAGGCAGGAGCUUACCAGUCCAACCCGGCGCGCGCCGCUCAGUCGUUGACGUCUAUUAAGCUUCAGUUGAUGCAUACGACGCAGAACACCCAUACUAUACCCACGUGAUGGUUAGUGCUAUCAGGACAGAGGCCCCUCGGAUCAAAUGUCCAAAUCGUAGUGGAUUAGGAGCACGCGGUAACAAGCAGAGACUCACGAAAGAUGUGACCCCGUUGCCCCAUCUCAAGGACUUGCGACAAUCGCUAGGAAUGCCCGGCCACGCCUCGUAAUUAUCUCGCGGGCACCCUCCAGGUCAACCCGACUCCACAUCACUCGCAAUUAAGCUCGCGCGGGUACCCCUCGGAGCCCACCCGUCUUUAGUAACAUGGUUCAGUGUAAAGUCAUAGUAACCAUAGUAACUGUGUGUCUAACACCAAGGGGAAAACCUGAGGAAUCACCCUUGACGGAUUCCACUUGAUGUAAUCAUCAAGGUGAACGUAAGAGGAACCACCCUCGAAGUUCACACUUGAGGGGUUGCACGACAGAUUCGUAUCGAAAGUGGUUAAGGCGGAAUCACCCUCGAUGACCACGACCGAAUAGCUACACUACAGGGUAACAUCAGAAGUGCUGAUGAGGUCUCACCCCCGGCACUCGAUAGUAACCCAGUAGUCUCGAGCAACUAAGGGGAAAGUGAUGUGCGGUGUCGGGGCCUGGUCUUCGAUCCCGUUGAUCGGGUCUUCGAUGAUGAAGCAGGGGCAACAAGGACAAGGUGGGGGUCACUGAUGGAUCACUAACCAACCUAUACUAAGCAGUUUAGGACAAGCAGGUAGGUAACAAAGAGCAGGUUACAAAAGCAGGCUAUGCAUCAGAAUAGGAGCAAACAAUAACAGUAGCAAAAUCUAAUGCAAGCAUGAGAGAAUGGAAUGGGCGAUAUCGGGAUGAUCAAAGGGGGGGCUUGCCUGGUUGCUCUGGCAAGGAGGGGUCGUCGUCGACGUAGUCGAUCACAGGGGCGGCACCGGUCUCGGGGUCUAUCGGAGAGAAGAAGGGGAAGAAACAAUAAAUAUAAAGCAAGCAUAGCAUCACAAAGCAUAACAUGGCGUUAUGCUGUGCCGGGUGUGACCUAACGUAUGGCUACACGAUAAAGGUGGAGGGGGAAUUCAACCGGGAAUGUAUUCCCGGUUCCGGACCUGUGUCAGACAGAUGAACGGAGGGGGAAUGUUCCAUGUUCAGAUAGUUAGAGGCAUCUGACAGGUAAACGGACCGCGUAUCCGGAUUCGUUGGAUUUUUCUGAGCAACUUUCAUGUAGAAAACCUUUUCAUCCGAGGUACGGUUGAUUUUCUAUUAAUUUUCAAAGAUUAAAGCAUAUUCUGAAAUUAUUUAAAUUAACAGAAAAGGAAUUAUGACAUCAGCAUGACAUUAUUGUGACGUCAGCAGUCAACAGGACGGCUGACCAGGUCAAACUGACCAGUGGGGCCGCCGGGACCCACAUGUCAGCCUCUGUGGGAUAAUAGUGGAUUAAUUUGACUAACAAUAAUAGUUAGGGGUGUGGGUCCCAUUAGUCAGCGACUAAUUAGUGAUUAAAACUAAUUAACAGAUUAAUUAACAUUUUAUUUAUUUAUAAAACCUGUUUAAUUAGCGCGGGGCCCACAUGUCAGUGGCACUUGGGGCGGCCACGUCAGUGUUGACCCAAGUCAACAGGUCAAAGGGGACCCCUGGGCCCACCAGUCAGUGGCCCAGGUGGUGCCUCGUGGACGCCACGUCGGACACCGGCCGGAGACGCGCCGGAGUUGACUCCGACGAGCCAAACGCAGCGGCGCGGCUCGGGAGGGGCGCGGGUUUCGCGCACAGGGGGUCUGGGGGGUUGUGGCUGGGCGCGUUCGACGCGGCUCGGCACCGCGCGUCCAAUGGUGGUGGCCGGAGUGGCUGGAACGGACGGGGGCGAGCGCUUCGAGCUCGCCGGCGGCGAGGUGCUUCGGGCGAGCAACGGCAACGGUGGUAUGGCACGAGAUCGGGCAAUCCAGAGAGCGGGGUGAGGCCUACGUGCACGCGCGAGCAAAUGACCAAUAGGUCGCCGGAACGACGCCGGCGACGAGCUGCGCGGAGGCGCAUUCGGUCGGAGCACGGGGUCGGCGCUACGGGGCUCGACAGAGCGCGAGGGAGGGGUGCAACGAGCCCGCACGGACGUGCUGAGCACGAUCCCGAGCUCAUAUGAGCUCGACAGGCAGCAACGACACGACCACGCGCACGCCGACGGAAGCAGAGGCACGACAACGGCGACGAACUAGCUAGGGACGAAUGCGGCCGCGGGAAGAAGGAAUGGAGGGAGAGAGGAGCUCACCGAGCGGCCAAGAAAAGCCCUCGACGGAUUAGUAGCUGCAGGUUUCGCCGGAGACGACGAGGAUCAUCGGCGACAGAGGCGGAAGGGAGCAGAGAAGAACGCCCUCAGCGGGGCCUCCCAACUCCAGCUGAUGGUUGGAGACGAAGGAGCGGAGAACGGCGGAGGUCGUGGAGGCGUUGUUGAAGCUCGGUGUCGACGGUCGCCGUGGUGGUGCGAGAGAACGGCGACGACAGCGUCGGGCGACGUGGGGGAGAGAGGCCCGAGGGAGAGCGGAGUGGAUCUGGGAGGCGAGGAAGCAAGUGGGGAGGGAUGCUAGGGUUCGUCCGGGGCGGGGGCGACCUAGUAGGCACCGGGGAGCUGCCGGAUGGCUGCCCCGUGGCCAUCGGCGGCCACAGACGGCGCGCGCGCGUCCACCCAGCCCCUGGUGAACAGAGGUAGGGGACGGCAGGGUUAGGUGGGCUGGGCUGCACUGUUGCGCGGCUGGGCCAAGUGCACAAUGCAGCCUGGCCUUUUCUUUUCCCUUUUUUAUUUCUUUUUUUUUACAGAAAGGGUUUUGUAAUAUUUGGGGGUGCCAAAAUGAUUUUUGUAAAAUAUGGGAACUGUCCACAUAAAUACAAUGCAAUGUUUGACACAGCCACAAAAAGUUUGGAAGAAGUCUGAAAUAGAUGGAAUUUGCAAAAACAUGGAAAUGCAAUUAAUUUGCUGAGUUGGCACUGUUUUAAUUUGCUAUAGUCCAUCUUAGCUUGGAGAUGAUGUUGUUUUCCUUAACAAUCAUUUGUUAUGGAAUUUUUGAUAAAUGAUGAACAUUUUGCCAGCAACUUUUGAUUAACUUCAAACUUCACUUGAAUUUGAAUUGACCGGAAUUUCAAAUGGGAUAUUGAACAAAGGUGAUUAAACACUAUUUGGAAAAAUGAUUAGCUUAAUCACAGAGGGUUACUGUAGCAUGACACUGG